UACACUCCUACGGGAGGCAGCAGUGGGGAAUAUUGCACAAUGGGCGCAAGCCUGAUGCAGCCAUGCCGCGUGUAUGAAGAAGGCCUUCGGGUUGUAAAGUACUUUCAGCGGGGAGGAAGGCGAUAAGGUUAAUAACCUUGUCGAUUGACGUUACCCGCAGAAGAAGCACCGGCUAACUCCGUGCCAGCAGCCGCGGUAAUACGGAGGGUGCAAGCGUUAAUCGGAAUUACUGGGCGUAAAGCGCACGCAGGCGGUCUGUCAAGUCGGAUGUGAAAUCCCCGGGCUCAACCUGGGAACUGCAUUCGAAACUGGCAGGCUAGAGUCUUGUAGAGGGGGGUAGAAUUCCAGGUGUAGCGGUGAAAUGCGUAGAGAUCUGGAGGAAUACCGGUGGCGAAGGCGGCCCCCUGGACAAAGACUGACGCUCAGGUGCGAAAGCGUGGGGAGCAAACAGGAUUAGAAACCCGUGUAGUCCCA
rnacentral:rRNA from 1 species